rnacentral:rRNA from 1 species
AGUCAGAUAUUAAAUCUUGGGCCCAACUCCAAGGCUGUAUCUGAAACUGGUAGACUAGAGUCUUUCAGGGCAAGCAGAAUUCUGUGUGUAGGGGUAAAAUCCGUAGAUACACAGAGGAAUACCAAAAGCGAAGGCAGCUUGCUGGGAAAGUACUGACACUCAUGGACGAAAGCGUAGGUAGCGAACGGGAUUAGAUACCCCGGUAGUCUACGCCGUAAACGAUGGAUACUAGUUGUUGGAGGGCUCGACCCCUUCAGUGACGACGCUAACGCAUUAAGUAUCCCGCCUGGGGAGUACGGUCGCAGGAUUAAAACUCAAAGGAAUAGACGGGGACCCACACAAGCGGUGGAGCACCUGGCUUAAUUCGAUAAUGAGCGAGGAACCUCACCUGGACUUGACAUCCCGAGAAUUUUCUAGAAAUAGAAAAGUGCCUUAUGGAACUCGGUGACAGGUGCUGCAUGGUUGUCGUCAGCUCGUGCCUUGAGGUGUUCGGUUAAGUCCGUAAACGAGCGCAACCCAUGUCCUGUGUUGCAUUUUUCACAGGAGACUGCCGGUUCCAAGCCGGAGGAAGGUAUGGAUGACGUCAAAUCAGCAUGGCCCUUAUGUCCAGGGCUGCACAGGUGCUACAAUGGUCGGUACAAUGGGUAGCAAUACUGUAAAGUGGAGCCAAUCCACAAAACCGAUCUAAGUUCGAAUUGAGGGCUGCAACUCGCCCUCAUGAAGUUGGAAUCGCUAGUAAACGCGGAUCAGCAAUGGCGCGUUGAAUACGUUCCUGGGUCUUGUACUCACCGCCCGUCACACUACGGAAGGUGGAGGCGCCCGAAGUACCCUUAGCUUUUAGCGGGGUCCUAAGGUGAAAUCACUGACUGGAGUGAAGUCGUAACAAGGUAACC